ACGAACUGAUUUCCAGACAAAAUGUUAAUGUUGUUAUUAGGGUAUAAUUGAAAGGAGAGUAGAUGUGAUGAAAGUGUGUCUGGAGCAUGUAUAUUUGCAAGCUUAAUUUGUAGANAAAAUAAAUGGUAAGCGUUGUUGUGUGUGAUGGGAAGUGGUGAAAUAGGAGGAAAGAUAGAAAUAGGUUUAGUAACAAGAAUUAUAGUGAUAAAAAUGAAGGGUGGUUCUGUGAUGGUGACAGGCGNAGAGAGGUAUGAUAGCAUGGACUUANNUGGAAUAUGUUAGGUGAGUAAUUG
rnacentral:lncRNA from 1 species